rnacentral:rRNA from 1 species
UACGUAGGGUGCAAGCGUUAAUCGGAAUUACUGGGCGUAAAGCGUGCGCAGGCGGUUAUGUAAGACAGGUGUGAAAUCCCCGGGCUUAACCUGGGAACUGCAUUUGUGACUGCAUAGCUAGAGUACGGUAGAGGGGGAUGGAAUUCCCGGUGUAGCGGUGAAAUGCGCAGAUAUCGGGAAGACACCCGUGGCGAAGGCGGCUCUCGUGGACGGUACUGACGCGUGAGACGCGAAAGCGUGGGAGC